rnacentral:sRNA from 1 species
AUCCUGCACACAGCCAUUUCACUUGCUUUGCUCCACGCCUCCACCUACCUAAAUCGCUCUCAUUAGUACUCAAUUAAGUCGAUCGGCGAGCGAUUCAGCGCGGCUCCUCGACCGAUCUCUCCGUUUCGUCAGAUCGAUCGAUCGAUCGAUCAGGGCUGUGUAUUGCGCCGUGUAGUACGUGAGAGGAUCGGAGUCGGAGCAGCGAGCGAGAUUUGUUGAAGCAAAUUAAGUAGAUCGAUCUCAUAUCGAUCAUCCUUAAUUAAUUUAUCAUGGAGCUGGUGCUGGUGAUAUCGCUGCCGCUGCUGGCGCUCAUCAUAAUCGUCGCCAUCGUCCUCUGCGUCAUCUGCCGCUAGCUUAGCUGAUUCCUUCCUGCCUCCGCGAUCAUUUUGCAUACAUGUAGUAUGUCAGUAUGUGGUGCAUCAAAUGUGAUCAUUUUGCCGCCCGUUGUUGUUGGGCACGGUGAUUGACGACAGAAAGAAUUACUCCCUUCAUAUUUUAAUGUAUGACACCAUUGACUUUUUAACCAACGUUUGACC